UGUAGUUCAAACAACUUUAGCGUUAAAUAUUCUCCAGUUAGCAGUGACGCUGAUAAAAAUGUGUGCAGUCAUCUUUCACCAUCUUUCAAUGCUGUGAUUGCAGCCAUUCCCCAACUCUCUGUGAAUGGUACUCAUGGCCAUUCGAGAAUCUGUGUCUUUGAUUAGUAGUCGUUGAUCAAUGGUCAUAAGAAUUUGCAUACUAACAAUCAUGGAACUAACCCCCCAGCACAUUGUUCAUUCAGUGGUGCUAGUUUCCUUCGCUGUGCAAAUGUACUGCUUAUAAGGUUGGGGAAACCUGCAGUCAGCUGAGACUGAAGAAGUCACUUGGAUGAGUGACAAAACGUUUCUCCCACUGAAAAUGUCCAAAUGAACAGAAUCAACCUUUUGGAAUUUACUUACCUGGAUGAUUGAGCACGCAUCAAGACAUUAUUUUAUUAAUAUUUUUGAAAUGAUAGCAGCACAAACGAAAAUUUUUGCAGCACAAACCAGCACAAACGUUUGAUACCACUUUUGUUGGAUUUGAAGAAAGGGGGGGGCAACUUCACUCACGUGAUCUCCUAAUAUCACACCACAAAUUAUAAUUGUGUAACUAUGUCACAUUAUUGGAAACUGAAAGCAGCAGAGCCUGUUGCAAAAAAGCUGUCACAACAAUCGUCAUGUGAUUGACUGAUACGGAACAAAUCCAAGCGAAGAUGAUAAGUGAUAAAAACCUGCUUUAAAUCCAAACACUUACAACAAUGUGUGGAUGGACGCGUGGAUCAGGUACAUGUGUCACACUGCAAAGUCAAUAUUAGUUUCUGAAGGUGGUUACGGGUUUCACCUGCGCAUCCUCACAACUUUAUCUCUAUGUGACGGCACCCAAGCUGUUGCAAUUUAGAAUAUCAGCCACUUGUCAUGUUAAUGAGGGCUAAAUAAAGCUGAGACAGAAAAUGGCCGGUGUGAAAGCUGCUGAGCUGAUCGUCAUCUGUUUCAUGCUGCUACAAGGCUUUGUGGCAGCUUUCAACUGCACCAGCCCAACUCCUGCCGCCCUGUUUGAUCAACUCGCAAAACAUUUGUUCUCUAACAAACUGCUGCGUCCCGUCGAAACCUUUGCAAAGCCAAUAAACAUAUCCAUCAGCAUAACAGUGGCAGGAAUUUUAGGAGUGGUGAGUCUACACAGCUUAUACACAAAAUAUUAACAUCAUGUCAUCUAUGUGGAACUAAUAAUCCUUAUGACUCUAAUAUACUUUCUAAUGUUACUCAUCUUUAGGAUGAAAAAACCCAAACACUGUCUUCAGUCUUAUGGCAGGUCCUGGUAUGUCUUGAACAGCUCUCAGAACUAAAACAAUAAUGUCACAUUUCUUAUAUGAUUAUACUGACAUUUUGUAAAUUAUUUCUGUUGCAGCUGUUUGUAUUUUCAGCACAAUGAACCAAUCCAGAGCGAUUAUAAGAAUGAAUCAAAAUGUUUGGCCACUGAAUUAAUACAUAAAGAAUACAUUACUUGUUCUUUUAGAUUUCCUUAAGUCUGUAACAGUAAUUUCAAAUAUUUAUUAUCAGUUGGGAACUUUUUCUUAUAGUCUAACAUGACUUAAUACCAGAUGUUGUGUUUCCCUGUUUCAGCAGUUAACAUGAUAGCUGUAGUGCUGUGGAACAGUUUUGCUGUUGUUCUGUUUAAUGUAGGAGUGGAUAUCGAAGGACUGAACUGGGAUGAGAAGGAAUGUGCAGCUAAAAGAGUUUCGGUUCCUCGGGACAACCUUUGGGUCCCAGACAUUCAAAUAAAACAGCUGUAAGUUUAAUGAAUUUUGUAAAUCAAGUCGAAGAAAUUAACUUUUAAUUAAAACACUAAAAAUG
ensembl:lncRNA